GAAGGGAGCUUGCUCCCGGAUGUUAGCGGCGGACGGGUGAGUAACACGUGGGUAACCUGCCUGUAAGACUGGGAUAACUCCGGGAAACCGGAGCUAAUACCGGAUAGUUCCUUGAACCGCAUGGUUCAAGGAUGAAAGACGGUUUCGGCUGUCACUUACAGAUGGACCCGCGGCGCAUUAGCUAGUUGGUGAGGUAACGGCUCACCAAGGCGACGAUGCGUAGCCGACCUGAGAGGGUGAUCGGCCACACUGGGACUGAGACACGGCCCAGACUCCUACGGGAGGCAGCAGUAGGGAAUCUUCCGCAAUGGACGAAAGUCUGACGGAGCAACGCCGCGUGAGUGAUGAAGGUUUUCGGAUCGUAAAGCUCUGUUGUUAGGGAAGAACAAGUGCAAGAGUAACUGCUUGCACCUUGACGGUACCUAACCAGAAAGCCACGGCUAACUACGUGCCAGCAGCCGCGGUAAUACGUAGGUGGCAAGCGUUGUCCGGAAUUAUUGGGCGUAAAGGGCUCGCAGGCGGUUUCUUAAGUCUGAUGUGAAAGCCCCCGGCUCAACCGGGGAGGGUCAUUGGAAACUGGGAAACUUGAGUGCAGAAGAGGAGAGUGGAAUUCCACGUGUAGCGGUGAAAUGCGUAGAGAUGUGGAGGAACACCAGUGGCGAAGGCGACUCUCUGGUCUGUAACUGACGCUGAGGAGCGAAAGCGUGGGGAGCGAACAGGAUUAGAUACCCUGGUAGUCCACGCCGUAAACGAUGAGUGCUAAGUGUUAGGGGGUUUCCGCCCCUUAGUGCUGCAGCUAACGCAUUAAGCACUCCGCC
rnacentral:rRNA from 1 species